GAGUUUGAUCCUGGCUCAGAAUGAACGUUGGCGGCGUGGAUUAGGCAUGCAAGUCGAACGAAUCCCUGGGGCAACUCGGGGGGAAGUGGCGAAAGGGGCAGUAAGGCAUAGGUAAUCUACCCUGGGGUGGGGCAUAGCUAUUCUAACGAAUAGGUAAUUCCCCGCGUUGUAGCGUGUCCGCAUGGACGUGCUACGAAAGAAUCUCGCCUCGGGAGGAGCCUAUGUGAUAUUAGCUAGUUGGUGGGGUAACGGCCCACCAAGGCUUAGAUGUCUAGCGGGUGUGAGAGCACGACCCGCGCCACUGGCACUGAGACACUGGCCAGACACCUACGGGUGGCUGCAGUCGAGGAUCUUCGUCAAUGGGCGAAAGCCUGAACGAGCGACGCCGCGUGAGCGAUGAAGGCCUUCGGGUUGUAAAGCUCUUUAGGGGGGGAGAAAAACUGAUCUAUCCCCAAAAUAAGCUCGGGCUAAGUUCGUGCCAGCAGCCGCGGUAAGACGAACCGAGCAAACGUUAUUCGGAAUCACUGGGCUUAAAGGGCGCGUAGGCGGGUUGCCAAGUCGGUGGUGAAAUCCUCCAGCUUAACUGGAGAACUGCCGCGGAUACUGGCGACCUAGAGGAAGGUAGGGGCAUCUGGAACUGGUGGUGGAGCGGUGAAAUGCGUUGAUAUCAUCAGGAACUCCGGUGGCGAAGGCGAGAUGCUGGCCCUUUACUGACGCUGAGGCGCGAAAGCCAGGGGAGCAAACGGGAUUAGAUACCCCGGUAGCCCUGGCCCUAAACGAUGAGAACUAGAUAGUGGACUUACCAUGGGUUCACUGUCGAAGCAAAAGU
rnacentral:rRNA from 1 species